AAAAUAAUCGGCUUUGUGGAGUUGGUCUAUUUCAUUUUUCCACUUAUCUUGAAUGUCUCCUCUCCAUACAGGAUGCUCUGGAGGAAUGUGGAAAACCCCUUGCAACUGCCAUCUAAACAUCAGGUUUCCCACAGAGGUUUUACCUGCAAGUGUAACAAGUCCUUUCUUUUGCCUGAAUAAUUGGGUGACUACCCAGAAAGAAAAAGAAUGAAUUCUCCAACUCCUGUUGGAUCUUCCUGAAAAUAGCUCAAACCCAUAUGGCAUUUGCCUCCUGCUGAUACUUCCACACCAGGAAUCUCUCCAGCAAAGCGACCAAGACUCAAAGAGGAGUACAUAAUAUGUUCUUUGCUCCUUGUGCUCAUAUACCUAAGCCCUGUUCUCUAAAUCAGAGGCCCAGAGAAACCUCUGGUGAAGAUCAGGAGCUCCUACCUACAGUUCAGCCUGGAAGUUGGAGAAUUUCCUAUUCUGGCAAAAUGAAUUUUAGGGUGGUGCCCCCAGAAAAGAUUUACAAAGCUACCUCUGUGAGAGAUGGCUGCUUCCAGAUCCCACAGCCUCUGACUGAAUCAGUAAAACUAAUUGCUGAAUGUAAGACCUCUCAAUUUAAUUCCAGGAGUGUGUAUCACCCAAGGAAAGACCCAGCAUUACAGCCUACAUAACCUCAGGAUCAUGAAACCUGUGGAUUGUAAAUAUGCAAUUAGCAGCUGGAGUAGAAGUAAAAGCAGAAAAUGUCAACUGUCAAGUAGCUCCAUUGAAAGACACAUGAUGCUUCAAGCUAAGACAGAAAGACAAAAGCACCUACCAACAAGGAUAAAGGUUGCAAAAUCUCUGUUUAAACAUUCCAUUAAUCUCUUCCAUGAAAUAAAUAUAAUUAAUACAUCCAGAAAUAAGGAAUCCACUAUCAAAACUGCAGUUUACUUUUGUAAUAAGGCUCUGUGUGGUAAUGCUAUACUCUACUGCCAAUAGAAAUUCUGGAUUCCACCUCUGUUAUAAUUAAUAACAUAUAUGCCUUUAUGUAACAUGUGGCUGGCCGUAUCACAGUAGCGCAAUUGAUUUCCCAGGAAUAUACAUGGGAAAAGGGUGCAAUACAUCACUGUCAUCUAGAGUAUAUUUCUUUUCUAGACUAAAACAUCUAGUUCUACUUGCAAACAGUUGAUUGCUUCUGCGUCCUCUGUAUGAA